CCUACGGGAGGCAGCAGUAAGGAAUAUUGGUCAAUGGACGAAAGUCUGAACCAGCCAUGCCGCGUGAAGGAUUAAGGUCCUCUGGAUUGUAAACUUCUUUUAUAGGGGACGAAAAAAGGGCAUUCUUGCUCUCUUGACGGUACCCUGUGAAUAAGCACCGGCUAACUCCGUGCCAGCAGCCGCGGUAAUACGGAGGGUGCAAGCGUUAUCCGGAUUCACUGGGUUUAAAGGGUGCGUAGGCGGGUAGGUAAGUCAGUGGUGAAAUCUCGGAGCUUAACUCCGAAACUGCCAUUGAUACUAUCUAUCUUGAAUAUUGUGGAGGUUUGCGGAAUAUGUCAUGUAGCGGUGAAAUGCAUAGAUAUGACAUAGAACACCUAUUGCGAAGGCAGCAGGCUACACAUAUAUUGACGCUGAGGCACGAAAGCGUGGGGAUCAAACAGGAUUAGAUACCCUGGUAGUCCACGCCCUAAACGAUGAUUACUCGACAUACGUGAUACACUAUGUGUGUCUGNGNGAAGANAUAGUAAUACACCNGGAGUACGUCCGCGAGAGAGAACGACGAAAGGAAGUUAGUACGGACGUGAGACGNGCCGACGGACGACGACGAGGGGAGGAGG
rnacentral:rRNA from 1 species